AAACCCCAAUGUGAACGUUACCAAUCUGUUGCCUCGGCGGGAUUCUCUGCCCCGGGCGCGUCGCAGCCCCGGAUCCCAUGGCGCCCGCCGGAGGACCAACUCAAACUCUUUUUUCUCUCCGUCGCGGCUUCCGUCGCGGCUCUGUUUUACCUUUGCUCUGAGCCUUUCUCGGCGACCCUAGCGGGCGUCUCGAAAAUGAAUCAAAACUUUCAACAACGGAUCUCUUGGUUCUGGCAUCGAUGAAGAACGCAGCGAAAUGCGAUAAGUAAUGUGAAUUGCAGAAUUCAGUGAAUCAUCGAAUCUUUGAACGCACAUUGCGCCCGCCAGUAUUCUGGCGGGCAUGCCUGUCCGAGCGUCAUUUCAACCCUCGAACCCCUCCGGGGGGUCGGCGUUGGGGAUCGGCCCCUCACCGGGCCGCCCCCGAAAUACAGUGGCGGUCUCGCCGCAGCCUCUCCUGCGCAGUAGUUUGCACACUCGCACCGGGAGCGCGGCGCGGCCACAGCCGUAAAACACCCCAAACUCUGAAAUGUUGACCUCGGAUCAGGUAGGAAUACCCGCUGAACUUAAGCAUAUCAAUAAGCG
rnacentral:rRNA from 1 species